GAUGAAGAACGCAGCUAAAUGCGAUAAGUAGUGUGAAUUGCAGAAUUCAGUGAAUCAUCGAAUCUUUGAACGCACAUUGCGCCCCUUGGUAUUCCAUGGGGCAUGCCUGUUCGAGCGUCAUUUGUACCUUCAAGCUUUGCUUGGUGUUGGGUGUUUGUCCUGAGGGACUCGCCUUAAAGUGAUUGGCAGCCAGUGUUUGGUUUUGAAGCGCAGCACAAGUCGCGAUUCAAAGCUAUACGCCCGCUUCCACAAGCCUUUUUCACUUUUGACCUCGGAUCAGGUAGGGAUACCCGCUGAACUUAAGCAUAUCAAUAAGCGGAGGA
rnacentral:misc_RNA from 1 species